UGGGGCAUGCGUAUACAAUGGAGAAAGCACAAAGGAAAAGCGCUGUAAAAUUAAAGCUAAUGCCAUUUUUGCUUCAAGCAGAGCAAAGUUUUGCCCAAUGCAUAUCCGAGGUCCCCCACCAAAUGGCAGAAAACACGGCUGGCCCUUAGUAGCCUUUGCAACUCCCUCGCUAAAUCUCUCUGGGUUGAAUUCCUUUGCAUCAUCACCCCAUAAACUUGGAUCAUGAUGUAGCAAGAUUGAAGGCAUCAAGACAAUCAUUCCAGCAGGUGGAGACAGUUCCCCUAAUUUAGUGUCUUCGUUAACCUCCGGGAAAUCAUAACUCCUGGUGUAUAUAGUCUUGGAACCUCAUUAAGGAUCAUAGUCACCUGUAAAAGAAGAAUUACAAAUCGAUGCUUAAAUGGAGUGUGAACUUCGUUCCAAGAGAAGAAAAUUGUAAGAUAAGUAUCCAGACAAUGUCAACUAAUAGCUGUUGCCUACUAGAAAGCAGAAACAUUACACUACACUCGGAUAUCGUUGUGCUUCAGGUAAUGGCAAAAGUAAAACAUGUCCUGAGUGAAUGGAAUGUUAAGCUAUGAUAUUCCUUAUGAAGUCUUCUGCAUCCGAACCCACGAAACCAAUUAUUCAUCAAAAGAGAACCUAAAAAACAAGUCUGAAAUGUGGCCAACAUUCAUGAUAUUCGAGUUUAGUCACUGCAGAUUGGUGAUACAAAACUGAAAUUCUUGAAUAAUAUCAAACUAUUCUGUCAUCAGAGCUUGUCCUCUUGAUAAAUUGAAGCUACUUACAAUUUUCAGCCAAUUUAAAUCUUCAAAAUCCGGUAUAUUGUUGCCAAAGACCUGAAGAACCUCAUCCCUAGCACGAGCUUGCCAGUCUGAAUGCUUGCUCAACAAAAUUAGCGUCCACACAAGCAAGAUUGCAGUUGUCUCAUGUCCAGCAAAAAAGAAUAGCUUGCACUCCUGAAUGACCCCUUCAGAAGUCAUCCCACACCUUUCAUUCCCAUGUUAUUGGAACUCCUUGAAGUUGGGUUCUAGAAGUAAACCCAACAAGUCACUAUGAAAAUUUUUUUCAUAUUUUUUGUUUCUUUUAUGGAAUAUCGAGUAAUGUGAUAGGACGAUUUUCUGCAGCAAAUCAGCCUUGGAUUGAUCUCUUUAUAGAUUAAGAGAUGUCACAUGUUGGUUAUAAUCAUCCAAGUGAUGACCUUUCAUUACUAAAGUUGUUACUUCUAUUCUAAUAGUACUUGAAUGAUUAAUUGUAGUACUUCACACUUGAAUGAACAGCCACAAAUUUUGUUAUUUUGUGAACCUUGAAACCUUUCAUCUUUUGAAAAUCUCCAACAAAUUCAUGGUGAUUAAAAGUUUUGCAAAUAAAGCCAACUCAACUGAGAUAAUUAGAUUCUCUGUAGUUUAAUUUCUUCAACAAAUGUUUGACCAGGAAGAAAAAAUGGUGAGUAUAGCCUUAAAACCUCAUGCAAGAUCAUUGUGAUAUGUGAGAAAUGGAAGGAGACUACUUAAGACAAUUUAUUGGCAUAUGAGAAGCUGCAACCUAUCAUGAGUUGACUUAUAAUUUUUUAGGUUAAAAGUUCUUUUACGUACAAUAUGCUAUGGAUUUUGGUAUAUAAUUGACAUACAAUCUUUUAGGUUAUACAGACCAUCAAAUUGUGAUAUUUUUGGUCCCAGCAAUGUGUUGCAAAAUCUAUUCUCCAGCACGUUCUCGCUAGUCUGGGCAGAUGCUGAAUACAACAGCUUACACUCUUCAAUAAUUUCUCUUGUAAUCGCACAGAAUUUCGUCUUGCCUAAGCUGCAUUGGAGAUCCACUUACCACGAAGAAAUAUUUUUGAAUACUAGCUAAUAAGAUUUACAGACUCUACUGAUUAAUGUUUGAGAACAGCUGUUAAAUGAUUUUAAGCCAUGACAAGCCAUUUGUUUUCUCCAUUAUCAAAGAAAAAGGAAAGAUCUCUUGCCAAAUUAAACGAGUAGAUGUAGUAUUUCUCUCUUAAUUCGCCGUGAGAAAUACAUUACGUGAAUCUGUACUGCUAUAUUCAUACAGAUCCAUUGACAUACCAAACUGGGCGGGACUUAAACUAGUUUACAAGCAAAGUUAAGCAUAGAAGAUGGUGCUUUAUUUCGUUAAAAGAUAAUCUGCUGCCACACGGGCGAGCAAGUCAUACAUAUGAAACAAAAACUAUAUCUUCUGCAAAAUCAAGUGAGCUCCAUACUGGGGUUGAACUAGUGCUGUAGCUGUUCCAGGAGCAUGAGUAUAAGAUGGUGAGAGUUCCAAGGAGAAGCGUUGCAGAAUCAUAGACAUUGCCAAUUUCGCUUCCAACAUGGCAAAAUUUUGUCCAAUGCAAAUGCGAGGUCCCCAGCCAAAUGGAAAGUAUGCAACGUGGCCCUUUGUUGCAUGUGAUGCUCCUUCAGCGAACCUCUCAGGCUUGAAUUCCUUCACAUCCUCGCCCCAUAUAUCAGGGUCAUGAUGCAUCAGCAAUAUUGGUAAGGUGAGUUGCACUCCAGCCGGGAGAGUUAAAUUUCCUAAUUUAGUUUCUUCAAUAGUUCUUCGACUCAUUGUAGCCAAUGGUGGCCACAACCUUAAAACCUCAUGCAAGAUCAUGGUGACCUAUGACAAGGGGACCAAACAAAAAAAAAAAAAAGUGUGAGAGUAAUUAGAUGUCUAUGCAGACGAGAAGCUUCAAAAAACUUCGUUAAUUAGUAUGCCUCUCCUGCUAUUAGUGCAAUUUUUCAAAUCAAUGAAAUGAUCAUUGCUAAUUUUUUAUGUUUUUCAAAGAAAAAGAUUGGCUUACAAUUUUGAGGUGAUUUAGCCCAUCAAAGUCCGGAUCCUUAGUUCCAAAUUGUUGCAAGACCUCCUCUCUAGCACGUGCCUGCCAUUCGGGGUACCUGCACAGUAAGACCAUUGUCCAGACAAGAAAUGCAGAAGUAGUCUCCUGGCCAGCAAAAUAGAACAGCUUGCACUCAUCAACAAUUUCUUCGGUAGUCAUACCAAAGUCCUUGUUUCCAUGCUUCUCGAUUUCUUGAGAAUUGGAUUGAAGCAUUAAUCCCAACAAGUCAUCAGAGCCGGCUUCUCCUGCUCUCAUUGCCUUUCUUCUUGUGUUGAUCAUUUCCCUAACUGAACCAUUAACUUCUAUGGCAAUCUGUUUCAUUCUUCUGUUCCUCUUGGUUGGCAAGAACCUAAUAAAAGAUCAUAGUUUAGCAAAAAAACAAAAGCAAGAACAAACUAUGUUUGCAAUAAUGUACAUCCUGGGAUGUUGAUUUCUAGGAGAACCAUUGAUUUCUAGGAGUCACAAUUUUCUACAGCACUCAAGAAUUCAUGAUCAAUCUACCUAAAUCCUGGGAUGUUGAUGUACACCGACCGUGCUGCCUCCAUCACAUCCUCAGUUUGCUCUCUCUGGAGCUCAAAGAUCCUUCUUCCUUCUUCAUAGUUGCUGCCAAAUGCUGUACGAGAAAUUGCAUCGCUGGUAAGAGCUUUAAGAUUGGGCCAAACAUCCACUUCAGCCAACCCCUUUGGUGAAACAACAUUCUCCCAUUUCGUCACCAUCUCACUUGCACUUUUAUAAAAGGCUGGAAGCAUAAGCUAUUUAUCCAUAAAAGAAAAGAAAAUCAGUGAAAGAAACUACUUCAUAUUGAAGGCUACUUAGUAAAUAAAUGAUGCAAUUUACUAAGGACUGUCCAAUGCAGAGAGUGUUUUCAAUUUUAGGAUAUAAUAAAUGUGUGUGUGUCAAUAAAUGAGAAUUUGAAACCCAUAAAAUGAUUAAAUUAGAGAGAAGAGAACCUUCAAUUUCUCAACGUGGAAAGCUGGGUUGAGGAGCUUUCUCUGUUUGGCCCAUUUUUCUCCCUCAUAGCUCACUAGUCCUUGAGCCACAAGUCUGCCGAGUGGAUUAACAGGGAGCUUCCAGAAAUCAUCAAUCUUUUGUGUAACUGCCUUUAUUAGAUUAGGGUCCAUGAUCACCACGGCAGGUGUCGGCCCAAACCAUAAAUAUGUAUUUUUACCUGGAAGUCAGAGCCGCUUCGAUUAGGGGCCGAAAACUAGAAAGUAUAAAUAGUCAAAUGCCUUCCACUCAGAAAGGAUAAUAAAAUCAAGUGUCUCAAAAAAUAAAAAUACAAGGGCAAAAUACUAAAAUAAUUCAAAUUCUUCAACAAAAAUUUUUUUUUUUGCAUCAAUCAACCUAAUAAACUAUUUAAAGUGAUUCAAUCAGCUCAUUUCCAUCACAUUCCAUCAAAAUCUUCGAUUAAGUUAACUAUUCAGAAUGUCAAGUACGAGCAAUUGGUAGGGAUAAAAUUGACAUUUCUUCUCAUCCACCUCCCUAAUCGACUAAAAUUCUUCAUUCUCAUCAACUUAACUCCCAAAACCUUGAGAAUUUGGUGGAGUGCAAUUUCAACUCUUUUAAGGUUCUUUUAAGGUUCUUGAGAAUUUGAUCGACAGAUUUGUUUUUUGUUCCUGCCAAAUUGCACACAUCCAUUAGCUUUACGGGACAUGUUGACGGAUCGAAAAAAGAAUUGAAAAAAGAUUCACAAAGAUAGUAAAACAAACAAACCACAAAUAGAAAUUAAAAGAAAACAAGAAAGGAAACUUGAAGUCUAAAGCUUAUUGGGAGCAUAGAUUUUUGUCGGAACUUUAAUCCUUGUUUUGUUUAUUUGAUCAUUUGAUUGCUUAUUUAAUCUGAUCAUAAUUGAUUUCAAAUUCAAGAUUCAAUCUUCAUUGUCAAAUGACAUGCAUAAUUACUGAUAAUCAAUUAAUUAUUAGGACGAAAUAAUAAAUAUCAGCUGUAUUGAGGCCCUUUAUGACAAUUCCAAGUUGUAAAACAAUAACAAGCGGAAAAAAAAAAUACAAAACGACCAAGAAAAACGACCAUCCUAAAAUACAAAAGCUGAAAGGGAAUUCAUACACCCUAAUACUAUAAUAUUACUCGUAUUUAAGUACGAAAUACAUCAGUCUGAAAAAUCAAUUGUCCGUACAGGUUGGAGACAUUAGUAUAUCUCAUUUACUAUUUUCCCUUUUUUUUUUCUCUUUUUUUGGGUAAGUAUCUUAGUCACUAUUUUUCAACAUCGAAAAGAAAAAGAGUAAAAGAAAAGGAGGUAAAUGAUAUUCUAUCUAACCAAAAGCAGAAAAAAGGGAAAAAAAAUGGAGAUCAUACGAGGGACAAAAGAGGUUACGAGGCAAAGAGAUGGAAGCAGAGUUGAUGAGAACAAUAAAUACUACCAUAUUUCUUAACGGCUCCAAGAUAUUGAGGAAUAACUCUUGGUACGAUGUCGUCGGAGAGAUUAAGAUUCUUGGAUUGGGCUUCUGUGUACAGGGUGGACAUCUCUUUGAAGUCUCCAUGGAGCAGCUUGUAAGGGUUUCCCCGGAAACCUUGCUCUUUCAGACGUUUCUCCAGCUUCUUCGGCCUAAACCAUACCCAGUUCAAAGCUUUCCAUGAUACUGCUACUACCAGAAGAAGAAGAAGACAAGAAGAAUACACAGUAAACAUUGAUACACCAUAGGGGGUUUCCAUGUUGUGUUUUUGUUUUGUUGGUUUUCUUGUGAGAUUUCUACCUUUGUUGCGUGCAAAUUUAUAUUCAAGUUGGGGCGAUGAUAACCUUUGGUUUUGUGCGUCUGCACCGCCAUCCGUUUAUUACUUGGAGAACAGUAGGAACUUUUAGCUCAGCACAGCAUGAUUGGCUUGGUACACGAGAAUUUGGAGCCUAUUUCUAUAUAUUUCUCGGAUUUUAGAGCAAAGUUUUUUUUUUUGGGUGCAAUUGAGGUCCUCCAAGCCAAUUUAAUUUAACUGGACCUUUAAGGCAAUUUAAUUAGAACAAUUUUGUCACAGAAUUAGAAGGACAGUCGAACAUUGUAUAAACCCUAUCGGAAAAACAAACAUAGAGUGGAAGUUUUAAUUAAAGGAUAAUUUUUUAUGUGCUUUAAAAUGUUAAACAGUUAUUUUUCUUUGGUAAGUAAAUUUCUAAACAAUUAUUUUUGUACAGAAACACUAAUUUUGCUAACCUUAAAACGUUAUAUGCGUUCAAAUCUCUCCUCUCCUUUCUUAUUUUUUAAAUACCAUCCCUUCCUUAUUAAUUUUUUUUUAUUUUUAAAAAUGAUGCAUGUGUGAACAUAGAGGAGGUGACAUUCAAAGCAAAUAUAGAAAACACUCUCAAAUGUGGAUAAUUCUCAAGUACACUAAACAUGGAAAAUUUUAUGAACAUGGCUGUAUUGAGUGUAAAAAUGAGGUGGAACUGAAUAAAAUUCAUGUGGCAUUUCUGUGAGUUUUAGGUGGAAAUCAUAAGUUAUGAUUCGAUUAAAUAAGACCAAACUUCAAUUAAGCAAUGCUAUUGCGGUGUAGUAUCGUGUAUUGAUUCAACCUUCAUAACUUACUCGUAAUCAUUUCAUAAAAAAAAUAAGAUGGGGCAACAAAAUUAGGGAAAGAAUAAAAUUUCGUGUUGAAUAUCCAAAUCUUGUACUGUAGAACAAUUUCGAGCUUUUUGGUACGUGUAACAUAAAUAUAGUAGUGUGACAGCUAAAGUAGACAGAGACAGCUUAGGAAACUAGCAGGGUCAGAGGAUUUAGAAGGACAUAAAAGACUAGAACUCAAUUUCAACAAAUUGUUUAAGAUUGUACUAGCAAGAACCAAGCUGUGUCAGCAGUUAUUGAAGGCGAGUCACAAUGAAAGCAACUAUUGAAAGUGAAAAAUGAAUUUGCAAAAAAAUUAUCUAAGAGGUUGAAAGAGUAGAACUUGACGUACAUUCAACAGUUAUAAUUGUUCAAAAGUCAUGAUGCAUUAAUUAGCGGUGACACUGCGAUUAAUCAUUGGGGGUAGUCUGGUGGUUAGGGGAAGAUUUAUAGAGUCUCUCACUGUUAGAUUUAGGAAUUGAAUUGUGUGGCUGAAAAUUUCUCAUAUGCUUGAACAUGUUAGGGGGAAGAAAUUGCACUUAGAACAUGUAAGUAUUAUAUCUCAAAAUCAACACAAAAAAGUGAAAAUCAUGAAUUCGCUAAAGAAAGAUAUGGAAUUUGCAAAAUCGAAUAUUUUAGACGAAAUCAAUCUUAAGUACAGAGUUAGCAUAAAUUUCAACAAUCCUCUGAUUUUAAUGCCUAAAUAUUCAAUUAUUACAUGGGAAAAAUCCGGAACAUGGAAUGAGUCAAACUAUGUGUUUGAAUUGGAGAUGAUUUGAGAUAAUUUUUCAAAAAAAAUAUUGUAUCAUACACUAUUUUUUGAUAUGAUGUAUAUAAAGUAAAAAAAUAAUUAAAAAAUAUGUUAAUAAUGAAAAUAAAUAAAUUUCAGUGAACAAAGCACCGUCCAAACAAACACACAAACUAGAUGACCUAUGCCAUGACGAUGGCAGACAAUCUUUCUCGAGGAAAAAUAUGACCAAGCUUUGUUUUCUUUCCAAGUAUGUUAAAUUGAUCCUUAAAUAUAUCUAUGCCCUUUAUGUUUUGAGCACUUUAAUCCAAACUGUCUUUUCCUCUUGUCUUGGGAGCUCCGCUGAAAUAUGAUAUUUGUGAGGUGAAAAAUAAAUUAAUAAAUUAAAACCAGAAGUCAUGAAGUCAACGUACAGAAUGGGAUAAAUUAUGGUAAAUUACAAUAUGAGUCCGUUGUUCUAAAAUUUUAUCACACAAUCCCCCUAUUAUUCCACAAUAUCCAAUUGAUGCCCAGUGACUUUGUGUAAAAUUCAGAUUAGCCGAAAAGCAAGACCUGAUAAAUUACAAAGGAAUGUGCAUAGUUGUUUUAAAUUUGAAUACCUCAUUAGUCGUCUCAAUGGUUUAUUAUUUUUUUUAAAAAAAUAAAUCUGAAGAUUAAAGCUUCUAGGGAGAGUUAGAUGUCUUUAAAUGGAAAGUACGUGUUGAAAGACAAAAGGGAGUGCUGGAGUACUGGCAAAUGGCAACAAAAUAGGGAACAAAUCAAAAUGAAUUGUUAUUCAAGAAUCAUAGAGAUUUCCAAAAACAAAAUUUUUUUUUUUUUAGAGCAGCAAAUUAAUUAAGUUGUUACAUGGUAGUCCUUUUUAAGUAUAGAGCAAAACUAUGGCCCUUUGAGUAGAAUGGUUUUUACCAAUUUGGAUAAACUUUGCAAUUGCUAUGCUUAAUUUUGUUGUCGAUUUCGUGUGACUAUUUAAAAUUGGCAUGCCAUAAAGGCCGAAGAGUGGGAAUUGCUGUAUUAAAAUUCUAUAGUUUCGAUUAAACUUCGUAUUAUCGUCUUAAAGUAGAGAAAAUGAGCAUAUCACUAACUGCAAAAUGAGGUUAACAUAUUCAUUCCUUUUUUUUUUCAUAAUAGGGGAGGUAUGUGGGUUUAAGAAGUAGCGAGGGAAAAAGGGAGAUUAAAACCUAAAAACUCUAUAUUUAGGGUCUCAACCCUCAAAUUUAGCCACUAAGCCAAUGUCUUCUUGGCGCAUAUUCAUUUCAUUUGAUGAUUCUAAGUGGCCUUGCAGUGGAUAGUUAAUCAAAGCCGGACUAUGACCUAUAACCCUCAUUUGGGAAAAAAUUUAGCUUUAAUUAUUUCAUGUAUUCAAAAUCGCAUUCAAGGUUGCAAUCAAAUUGACAUCAUAGUUCCAUCUAGGUUACGAUGUAGCAAUUGCCAGUUGAAUCAUAGGCAUAUUUUAUAUUUACGAUAUCGAUUGUUAUGAAAAAAAAGUCAGAAUCGGCUUUGAAAUUCAUUCUUGAUUGUUUCUAGCAGAAAAAAGAAGAAUGACAAAAUAUUUUGGACCCAUAUUAGAGCACAUUUAUGUCGAGUAAUUACAUAGUAUUGCUAGCCAAGAAAAAUCAAAUGAACAUUUAAAACGCUACGUUAACUAACUUGUCUUUUAUUCCCCCACUAUUUUGUUCUCUUAAAUUGAAAUUUCAACAAUCAUUAUAACAUUUUAAACGAUAAUAACAAUAUAUAUAUAUAUAUAUAUAUAGCUAAUCAUAUUUUUUACACAUUUCCUCAGAGUUGCAUUAUGCAAAGGGUCAAACCACAAUAUUCUAAAAGUUUUGGUCUUAAAAAUAAAAGUCAUUCUCCUUUUAUUUGACUAAUUCUUCCUGCUGGCCUGCUUCUCUUCAGCCUAAAAUUGCUCCCCACUUGUUCGUAUUCUUCGUGUUCUAUUCCGCGACAUUUUCCAUUUCCUACAUUGUUAAACCGUGGAACGAAUUGCAAGCCUGCAAUGUUGAAGGCAAAUUAAACAAAGAGCUCUUAAACAACUUCAUUUUAGAUCUAAGAGAAAAUAUCAAUCUUCACAACUUCGUAGCAAAUUAAACAAAGACUGAUAACAAGAUUUCUUGUUUUACAGUUUCUUUAAGAUCAACUAAGCUCCAUACUGGGGUUGAAGAGUGAGCACAACUUGAGGAGCAUGUGCAUAACUCGGCGAAAGCUCCCAAGAAAAGCGCCGUAAGAUCAAAGCCAGCGCCAUCUUUGCUUCCAGCGUAGCAAAAUUUUGCCCAAUGCAAGUUCGAGGUCCCCAACCAAAUGGAGAACCUCAUCUAAUACCGGCUUCAUUGUUGUCAAAAACCUGUAGAACCUCAUCUCUGGCACGAGCCUGCCAAUCAAAAUGUUGACUCAAUAAAAUUAAUGUCCAGACGAGCAAUCCUGAGGUUGUCUCUUGUCCAGCCAAAUAGAAUAGCUUGCACUCUUCGAUGACUUCUUCAAGGCUCAUGCCGUUCUUAUUUCCACGUUGUCGGAUCUCAUUCAAAUUGGAUUCCAACAAAAUACCCAACAAGUCAUCACUUGUAGCUUCACCUGUUUGAAUUUCCUUCAGCCUUUCGUUGAUAAUGCCCAUAACUAUUGAGUUUACUUCCUUGAAAAUCUUCUGCAUUCUUUUGCUUCUUUUUGUUGGCACAAAACUGUAACGUGCCUCCACCCUGGAAGGUAAAUGGAUUGCAUAACUUGCUCAAAAUACAAAGCCUGUUCUCUUUGGAGUUCAAAAAUCCUUCGCCCUUUUUCAUAGUUGCUACCAAAAGCUGUUCCGGAAAUUACAUCACCAGUAAAUGUUUGAAGCUAAGGCCACACGUCUAAUUCAAAAGAUCCUUCUGCGGGGGCAAGGUCCUCCUAUUUGCUUAACAUCUCAUUACAACUCAGAUAAAAUGCUGGCACCGUGUACUAUUGUGAAGCAUCAAAAGUGAGAACGGAAAUAUUAAUCAGUCAAAUUUUAGAAUUGGAAAGGCUGGAUUUGGUUCUAUAUCUGAACUAGAUUGGAACCAUAACUACAUUUGUAUGAUGCAAAUACCAAACACUAGCCAGUCCCAUGUCUGAUAAAUAACAAGAAACAGCCAAAAGCAUGUAAGAUAUUGAAACAACACCAAAUUUCAGGAGAAAAAGCAAGAAACAACCUUCAAUUUCUCUACAUGAAAUGCAGGAUUCAAUAAUCUUCUGUGUUUGGCCCAUUUUUCUGUAUCCAGGCUAGCAAGUCCUAGUGCUAGAAGUUUACUGAUUGGAUUUGCCCGAGGCUUCUGAUAAGUAAAAUUUUUUGUGAAGACCUCCUUCACUUGUUCAGGAUCCAAGAUAACCAUUGCCGGCCUUGGUCCAAGCCAAAAAAAGCUAUUUUUACCUACAAAAUAAUUUUUGAUAAGCAACUUAUCCACUCUAAAAUAAAAAGAUUGGGUCAACCAUAUAUGAAAUGCAUGAUUGCUGAAAAACACAGCAAACCAAAUAGUCUUCAGGCAAAUUUGGAGAACAAACCUUUAUGUUGCAUUGUUUCAUUGAUGAAGGGCACGAAUCUGGGAAAGAUAUCAUCUGUUAAAGAAAUUGGUUUGGACUUAGCCUCCUCAAGCAUCCUUCCCAUGUCUCUGGUGUCUCCAAACAAGAACCUGUAAGAGUUUCCCUGUAGACCUUGCCGCCUGAGGCGUUUCUCCAUCUUCUUUGGUGUGAUCCAAGCCCAAUUCAAGAAUCUCCAUGCCCCGAUGAGAAGAACUAUAACUGACGAAACUCCAAUCAAGCUAUAGAAAAAGUCCAUUUUCUCUGAUGCGCUUCCACUCCUUCAGUCAAACUUUCUGCUGGCAGGGGGAACUUGCGAAGCGGUUAGUUAUUAAGGAGGGAGAACCUCAACUUUGGGACACAUAAUUCUGAAAUCUAUGCAUAUCCAUCUGUAAAAUCAGCAAAGACAAAGUAGCUUGAUGGUAUGUUCUAUGUUUACGGCAUCUGCUUAAAUGGAGAUGCUCUGAGGCUUCAACACUCGCCUAUAAAGGACAUUUGAGCCUUUAAUAUUCUUGUUUAUGGUAAAAUGAUUUUUCUACUCGUUCACUUAAAUUACACUUAAUUUACUGUAUGAACACACAUAAUACAAUUAUUAUAUCCUCUGUAUUUAAACGCUUUCCUAGUAACUACACUUUUAAAAAAAAAAUAAAAAUUAGCACUCUUGAGGCCCCCCUAACAGAGGGGACGAUAAAGGAGAACAAAUCAACAAAGCUCGAUUAUCCUGCAAGCCUCGCAAAUCAUCAUCAGAAGUCUUUUUCUAUUUGCCUUCUAGAAAAGAGUCAGUUCAAUAAAUAGAACUUGAGAAUUUGACUUUUGAUUUACCGUAAAAAAAAAAGAAGAAGAAGAAGACUAUGACCGGCUAACUCCACGUAUAAAUGGCUAUUGUUAGAAUAGCUACUCUUUGAGCAGUCAUCCAUGGCUAUUAUUAAUGUGCUACUCCUGAAUGACCUCUUCAGAAGUCAUCCCAAACCUUUCAUUCCCAUGUUCUUGGAUCUCCUUGAAGUUGGGUUCUAGAAGUAAACGCAACAAGUCACUAUGAAAAUUUUCAUCAUAUUUUUUGUUUCUUUUACGGAAUAUCUAGUAAUGUGAUAGGACGAUUUUCUGCAGCAAAUCAGCCUUGGAUUGAUCUCUUUAUACAUUAAGAGAUGUCACAUGUUGGUUAUAAUCAUCCAAGUGAUGACCUCUCAUUACUAAAGUAGUUACUUCUAUUCUAAUAGUACUUGAAUGAUUAAUUGUAGUACUUCACACUUGAAUGAACAGCCACAAAUUUUGUUAUUUGAUAGUGAUAUAAUUAUGUGUUUUAUUUAUUGGUAUUUGGUCUUAAUUUUGGUUACUUAUUGUGCAAGACACUGAAUUUCUGCCCAGAUUUGAUAUUUGUGUUAUUGACAGACGAGUGGUGUUAAAAGUGACAAGAAGAGAUAAAUUCCAGAAGACUAGGGUCUUGUUUGGAUUGCCGUUUUCCGUCGAAAAAUUACGUCGUUUUCUGUGAUCACAUUUUCUUAUUAUCUUUUUCCUUCACAUAUAUCAAAUCGCUACAAUAAUUUUUUCAUGAAAAAUGAUGAAAAAUAUAAUCCAAACGGGGCUAGGCAUUCUACAGCGCCUUGAAGAUAAAGUAGCGAGUUGCCAGUUGUUUUUUUACUAGUAUUUUUUUUUAAUUUUUUUUAUAAUUAAAAAAUUGAUGUGGUAAGCGACAGGAAUCAGCCCGAAUUGAAUCAUUGAUAUGACAAAACCAUUUGCUCUGUACCAAGUUUUGUCAUUUUGUCAGUCUACAAAAACCGCUUGGCCAGCGGUCAAAUUGGCGUUAUUUUUCCUGCAGAUUGCAUUUUCUAGAAUUUAUUUGUAAAAAAGUUACUAUGACAAUUUAAUGAAUGUAAGAAAAAAAAAUGUGAUAUUUUUUUGUUCCAGCAAUGCAUCGCAAAAUCUCUUCUGUAGCACGUUCUUGCUGAAUAAGACCGUUGUCCAAACAAUUCAUUUAAUUUCAUCAUGUCUAAUUAAGUUCCAUUGGAGAUCGACUUACCACUAAGAAAUACUUUUUAAAUACUAGCUAAUAAAAUUUAUAGAGUCUACAAAUUAAUAAUGUUUGAGAACAGCUGUUAAAUGAUUUUUAAUUAAGCCAUUUGUUUUCUCGAUUAUCAAAGAAAAAGGAAAGAUAUCCUGCAAAAUAAGUAAAACCAGUAGAUGUAAUAUUAUUAUUUCUCUCUUAAUUCGCCAUGAAAAAUACAUGCAUUACGUGAAUCUGUCUGUACUGCUGUAUAUAUUCAAACAGAUCCAUUGACAUAUCAUAUUGGGCGAGACUUAAACUAAGUUUACAAGCAUAGAAGGUGCUUUAUUUCCUUCAAAGAUAAUCUGCUGCCACAGGGGCUAGCAAGUCAAACUAUCAUAUCUUCUGCAAAAUCAAGUGAGCUCCAUGCUGGGGUUGAACUAGUGCUAAUAAGGCUGUUCGAGGAGCAUGAGUAUAAGAUGGCGAGAGUUCAAAGGAGAAGCGUUGCAGAAUCAUAGACAUUGCCAGUUUUGCUUGCAACAUGGCAAAAUUUUGUCCAAUGCAAGUGCGAGGUCCCCAGCCAAAUGGAAAGUAUGCAAGUGCCUGGCCCUUUGUUGCAUGUGAUACUCCUUCAGCAAACCUCUCAGGCUUGAAUUCCUUCACGUCCUCGCCCCACAUAUCAGGGUCAUGAUGCAUCAGCAAUAUUGGUAAGGUGAGUUGCACUCCAGCCGGGAGAGUUAAAUUUCCUAAUUUAGUUUCUUCAAUAGUUCUUCGACUCAUUGUAGCCAAUGGUGGCCACAACCUUAAAACCUCAUGCAAGAUCAUGGUGACCUAUGACAAGGGGACCAAACAAAAAAAAAAAAAAAGUGUGAGAGUAAUUAGAUGUCUAUGCAGACGAGAAGCUUCAAAAAACUUCGUUAAUUAGUAUGCCUCUCCUGCUAUUAGUGCAAUUUUUCAAAUCAAUGAAAUGAUCAUUGCUAAUUUUUUAUGUUUUUCAAAGAAAAAGAUUGGCUUACAAUUUUGAGGUGAUUUAGCCCAUCAAAGUCCGGAUCCUUAGUUCCAAAUUGUUGCAAGACCUCCUCUCUAGCACGUGCCUGCCAUUCGGGGUACCUGCACAGUAAGACCAUUGUCCAGACAAGAAAUGCAGAAGUAGUCUCCUGGCCAGCAAAAUAGAACAGCUUGCACUCAUCAACAAUUUCUUCGGUAGUCAUACCAAAGUCCUUGUUUCCAUGCUUCUCGAUUUCUUGAGAAUUGGAUUGAAGCAUUAAUCCCAACAAGUCAUCAGAGCCGGCUUCUCCUGCUCUCAUUGCCUUUCUUCUUGUGUUGAUCAUUUCCCUAACUGAACCAUUAACUUCUAUGGCAAUCUGUUUCAUUCUUCUGUUCCUCUUGGUUGGCAAGAACCUAAUAAAAGAUCAUAGUUUAGCAAAAAAACAAAAGCAAGAACAAACUAUGUUUGCAAUAAUGUACAUCCUGGGAUGUUGAUUUCUAGGAGAACCAUUGAUUUCUAGGAGUCACAAUUUUCUACAGCACUCAAGAAUUCAUGAUCAAUCUACCUAAAUCCUGGGAUGUUGAUGUACACCGACCGUGCUGCCUCCAUCACAUCCUCAGUUUGCUCUCUCUGGAGCUCAAAGAUCCUUCUUCCUUCUUCAUAGUUGCUGCCAAAUGCUGUACGAGAAAUUGCAUCGCUGGUAAGAGCUUUAAGAUUGGGCCAAACAUCCACUUCAGCCAACCCCUUUGGUGAAACAACAUUCUCCCAUUUCGUCACCAUCUCACUUGCACUUUUAUAAAAGGCUGGAAGCAUAAGCUAUUUAUCCAUAAAAGAAAAGAAAAUCAGUGAAAGAAACUACUUCAUAUUGAAGGCUACUUAGUAAAUAAAUGAUGCAAUUUACUAAGGACUGUCCAAUGCAGAGAGUGUUUUCAAUUUUAGGAUAUAAUAAAUGUGUGUGUGUGAAUUUAUAUGAUAAUUUUACUAUAAUUUACUCGCACUAAUGAGUAUUUACAGGUCAUCCGUUAAAAAAAAAAGAUUAAUCUUUCUACAGUCUACACUACCAGUAUAUACACCGACGGAAUUGGAUGAAUACCACAUCAUCUGAAUUUGAAACCCAUAAAAUGAUUAAAUUAGAGAGAAGAGAACCUUCAAUUUCUCAACGUGGAAAGCUGGGUUGAGGAGCUUUCUCUGUUUGGCCCAUUUUUCUCCCUCAUAGCUCACUAGUCCUUGAGCCACAAGUCUGCCGAGUGGAUUAACAGGGAGCUUCCAGAAAUCAUCAAUCUUUUGUGUAACUGCCUUUAUUAGAUUAGGGUCCAUGAUCACCACGGCAGGUGUCGGCCCAAACCAUAAAUAUGUAUUUUUACCUGGAAGUCAGAGCCGCUUCGAUUAGGGGCCGAAAACUAGAAAGUAUAAAUAGUCAAAUGCCUUCCACUCAGAAAGGAUAAUAAAAUCAAGUGUCUCAAAAAAUAAAAAUACAAGGGCAAAAUACUAAAAUAAUUCAAAUUCUUCAACAAAAAUUUUUUUUUUUGCAUCAAUCAACCUAAUAAACUAUUUAAAGUGAUUCAAUCAGCUCAUUUCCAUCACAUUCCAUCAAAAUCUUCGAUUAAGUUAACUAUUCAGAAUGUCAAGUACGAGCAAUUGGUAGGGAUAAAAUUGACAUUUCUUCUCAUCCACCUCCCUAAUCGACUAAAAUUCUUCAUUCUCAUCAACUUAACUCCCAAAACCUUGAGAAUUUGGUGGAGUGCAAUUUCAACUCUUUUAAGGUUCUUUUAAGGUUCUUGAGAAUUUGAUCGACAGAUUUGUUUUUUGUUCCUGCCAAAUUGCACACAUCCAUUAGCUUUACGGGACAUGUUGACGGAUCGAAAAAAGAAUUGAAAAAAGAUUCACAAAGAUAGUAAAACAAACAAACCACAAAUAGAAAUUAAAAGAAAACAAGAAAGGAAACUUGAAGUCUAAAGCUUAUUGGGAGCAUAGAUUUUUGUCGGAACUUUAAUCCUUGUUUUGUUUAUUUGAUCAUUUGAUUGCUUAUUUAAUCUGAUCAUAAUUGAUUUCAAAUUCAAGAUUCAAUCUUCAUUGUCAAAUGACAUGCAUAAUUACUGAUAAUCAAUUAAUUAUUAGGACGAAAUAAUAAAUAUCAGCUGUAUUGAGGCCCUUUAUGACAAUUCCAAGUUGUAAAACAAUAACAAGCGGAAAAAAAAAAUACAAAACGACCAAGAAAAACGACCAUCCUAAAAUACAAAAGCUGAAAGGGAAUUCAUACACCCUAAUACUAUAAUAUUACUCGUAUUUAAGUACGAAAUACAUCAGUCUGAAAAAUCAAUUGUCCGUACAGGUUGGAGACAUUAGUAUAUCUCAUUUACUAUUUUCCCUUUUUUUUCUCUUUUUUUGGGUAAGUAUCUUAGUCACUAUUUUUCAACAUCGAAAAGAAAAAGAGUAAAAGAAAAGGAGGUAAAUGAUAUUCUAUCUAACCAAAAGCAGAAAAAAGGGGAAAAAAAUGGAGAUCAUACGAGGGAUAAAAGAGGUUACGAGGCAAAGAGAUGGAAGCAGAGAUGGACAAGAACAAUAAAUACUACCAUAUUUCUUAACGGCUCCAAGAUAUUGAGGAAUAACUCUUGGUACGAUGUCGUCGGAGAGAUGAAGAUUCUUGGAUUGGGCUUCUUUAUGCAGGGUCGACAUCUCUUUGAAGUCUCCAUGGAGCAGCUUGUAAGGGUUUCCCCGGAAACCUUGCUCUUUCAGACGUUUCUCCAGCUUCUUCGGUCUAAACCAUACCCAGUUCAAAGCUUUCCAUGAGACUACUACUACUACCAGAAGCAGAAGAAGACGAGAGGAAUACACAGUAAAGGUUGAUACAUCGGUGGCUUCCAUGUUGUGUUUUUGUUUUGUUGGUUUUCUUGUGAGAUUUCUACCUUGGUUUUGUGCGUCUGCACGGCUAUCCGUUUAUUACUUGGAGAAGGGAGAAAAGGAGGAACUUUUAGCUCAGCACGGCAUGAUUGACUUGGUACACGAGACUUUGGAGCCUAUUUCUAUAUAUUUCUCGGAUUUUAGAGCAAAGUUUUUUUUUUUUGUUUUUGUUUUGGGUGCAAUUGAGGACCUCCAAGCCAAUUUAAUUUAACUGGACCUUGAAGGCAAUUUAAUUAGAACAAUUUUGUCACAGAAUUAGAAGGAUAUUCGAACUUUGUAUAAACCCUAUCGGAAAAACAAACAUAGAGUGGAAAUUUUAAUUAAAGGCUAAAUUUUUAUGUGCUUUAAAAUGCUGAACAGUUAUUUUUCUUUGGUAAGUAAAUUUCUGGACAAAUAUUUUUGUACAGAAACACUAAAAAUUUUGCUAACCUUAAAACGUUAUAUGUGUUCAAAUCUCUCCUUUUUCCUUUCUCAUUUUUUAAAUACCACCCCUUCCUUAUUAAUUUUUUAAAAAAUUUUUUUAAAUACCACCCCUUCCUUGUAUGUGUGAAUGUAGAGGACGUGACAUUUAAAGCACAUAUAGAAAACACUUUCAAUUGUAGAUAAUUCUCAAGUACACUAAACUUCGAAAAUUUUAUGAACAUGGCUGUAUUGAGUGUAGAAAUGUGGUGGAACUGAAUAAAAUUUCUGUGAGUUUUAGGUGGAAAUCAUAAGUUAUGAUUCGAUUAAAGAAGACCAAACUUCAAUUAAGUAAUGCCAUUGAGUUUUAGUAUCAUGUAUUAUGUAUUGAUUCAACCUUCAUUGCUUACUCGUAAUCAUUAUAUGAAAAAGAAUUAAGAUGGGGCAACAAAAUUUUGGAAAGAAUAUAAAAUUUGGUAUUGAUUUGGAACUAAUGAUAUACAUUUCAGAUACUUGCGUCAAACAAAUAUAUUAGAAUGAAUGGCCUCAUUUCAAAUUCAAAAUAUUCGAUUUCAAAUCCGAAUUUAAUGGCGAACCAAACGCACCUAAAUAUCCAAAUCUCGUACUGUAGAACAAUUUCGAGCUUUUUGGUACGUGUAACAUAAAUAUAUAGACAGCUAAAGUAGACAGACUGAGACAGCUUAGGAUACUAGCUAGCAAGGUCAGAUGUUCUAAAAGAACAGAAAAGACUAGACAAUGAAACGUGCACUCAAUUUCAACAAAUUGAUUAAUAUUGUACUGGCAGCAACCAACCAACCUAUGUCAGCAGUUAUUGAAGGCAAGCAUCUGGAAGAAACUAUUUGAAAGUGGAAAAUUCAUUUGCAAAAAAUUCAUUUUGUUAGAGAUUGAAAGAGUGGAACAUGACGUACAUUCAACAGCUAUAAUUGUUAAAAAUUCAUGAUGCAUUAAUUAGCUGUGACACUGCAAUUAAUUAGCUUAAGAAAGAUAUGGAAUUUGCAAAAUCAAAUAUUUUAGAUGAAAUCAAUUUUAAGUACCGGGUUAGCAUAAAUUUCAACAAUCCUCUGAUUUUAAUCCCUAAAUAUUCAAUUAUUACAUGGAAAAAAUCUGAAACAUGGAAUGAGUCAAACUAAGUGUUCGGAUCGAAGAUUAUUUGAGAUAAUUUUUCAAAAAAAUACUAUAUCACAAUCUGUAAUGCAUAUAAAAUAAAAAAAAAUAAUUAUAAAAUACGUUGAUAAUGAAAAUAAAUAAAUGUCAGUGAACAAAGCACUGAGUUUGUUUGGAUAAGAAUUUAUUUGGAUGAUUUAUUUGAUCUAGUUACUGUAGCACUAUUUGUGAUGUGAUGUACGUGAGAUAAAAAAGUGAUUGAGAAUUGUGUGUAUGAUGCAAGCAAAACAAAAUCUAAAAUUUUUUGGCCAAAUUCUUGUUGUCCAAGCAAACACACAAACUAGAUGACCUAUGCCAUGACGAUGGCAGACAAUCUUUCUCGAGGAAAAAUAUGACCAAGCUUUGUUUUCUUUCCAAGUAUGUUAAAUUGAUCCUUAAAUAUAUCUAUGCCCUUUAUGUUUUGAGCACUUUAAUCCAAACUGUCUUUUCCUCUUGUCUUGGGAGCUCCGCUGAAAUAUGAUAUUUGUGAGGUGAAAAAUAAAUUAAUAAAUUAAAACCAGAAGUCAUGAAGUCAACGUACAGAAUGGGAUAAAUUAUGGUAAAUUACAAUAUGAGUCCGUUGUUCUAAAAUUUUAUCACACAAUCCCCCUAUUAUUCCACAAUAUCCAAUUGAUGCCCAGUGACUUUGUGUAAAAUUCAGAUUAGCCGAAAAGCAAGACCUGAUAAAUUACAAAGGAAUGUGCAUAGUUGUUUUAAAUUUGAAUACCUCAUUAGUCAUCUCAAUGGUUUAUUAUUACUAUUUUUUAAAAUAAAUCUGAAGACUAAAGCUUCUAGGGAGAGUUAGAUGUCUUUAAAUGGAAAGUACGUGUAGAAAGACAAAAGGGAGUGCUGGAGUACCGGCAAAUGGCAACAAAAUAGGGAACAAAUCAAAAUGAAUUGUUAUUCAAGAAUCAUAGAGAUUUCCAAAAACAAAUUUUUUUUUGAGAGCAGCAAAUUAAUUAAGUUGUUACAUGGUAGUCCUUUUUAAGUAUAGAGCAAAACUAUGGCCCUUUUGAGUAGAGUGGUUUUAACCAAUUUAGAUAAACUUUGCAAUUGCUAUGCUUAAUUUUGUUGUCGAUUUCGCGUGACUAUUUAAAAUUGGCAUGCCAUAAAGGCCGAAGAGUGAACCACUGAGCUAAUGGCUCAGUGGCCACCAGGGAGGGACUUAAGUCCCUCCUUGAGCUGUUGGUGAGGAUUCAAACCUCACCAGCAGCGAAAAAAUCUAAGGAUUGUGCUAUAACACUCCCUUGGUCUAGUUGGGUCUGCAUACUCGCUAGCCCCUACUUUAGCCUCCUUAGGCUCCCCCUUCCCCUAGAUUAGGAUAGAGUAGGUUAUACAAAUGUAUCGUUGCUGACAAAAAAAUAAAUAAAUAAAGGCCGAAGAGUGGGAAUUGCUGUAUUAAAAUUAUAUAGUUUCAAUUAAAUUUCGUAUUACCGUCUUAAAGUAGAGAAAAUGAGCAUAUCACUAAUAGCAAAAUGAUUCAUUUCAUUUUUUUUCCUAGCAGGGGAGGUGUGAGGGUUUAAGAAGUAAUGAGGGAAAAAGGGAGAUUAGAACCUAAAAACUCUAUAUUCAGGGUCUCAACCUUCAAAUUUAGCCACUAAGCCAAUGUCUUCUCGGCGCAUAUUCAUUUCAUUUGAUGAUUCUAAGUGACCUUGCAGUGGAUUGUUAAUCAGAGCCGGAUUAUGACCUUUAACCCUCAUUUGGAAAAAAAAUUUAGCUUUAAUUAUAUCAUGUAUUCAAAAUCGCAUUCAGGGCUGCAAUCAAAUUGACAUCACAGUUCCAUCUAGGUUACGGUGCAGCCAUUGCCAGUUGAAUCAUAGGCAUAUUUUGUAUUUACAAUAUCGAUUGAUAUGAAAAAGAAGUCAGAAUCGGCAUUGAAAUUCAUUCUUGAUUGUUUCUAGCAGAAAAAAGAAGAAUGAGAAAAUAUUUUGGACCCACAUUAUAGCACAUUUAUGUCGAGUAACUACAUAGUAGUGCUAGCCGAAAAAAAUCAAAUGAAGAUUUAAAACACUACGUUAACUGUUUUGUCUUUUAUUCUCCUAUUAUUCUCCCAUUAUUCUGUUCUCUUAAAUUGAUAUUUUAACAAUCAUUAUAACAUUUUAAACGAUAAUAACAAUAUAUUCACAUAUAUAUAUAUAUAUAUAUAGGUAAUCAUAUUUUUUACACAUUUCCUCAGAGUUGCAUUAUGUAAAAGGUCAAACCACAAUAUUCUAAAAGUUUUGGUCUUAAAAGUCAUUCUCCUUUUAUUUGACUAAUUCUGCCUGCCGGCCUACUUCUCUUCAGCCUAAAAUUGCUCCCCACUUGUUCGUAUUCUUCUUGUGUUCUAUUCCGCGACAUUUUCCAUUUCCUACAUUGUUAAACCGUGGAACGAAUUGCAAGCCUGCAACGUUGAAGGCAAAUUAAACAAAGAGCCCUUAAACAACUUCAUUUUAGAUGUAAGAGAAAUAUACCAAUCUUCAUAACUUCGCAGCAAAUUAAACAAAGAGCCCAUAAACGGCCAUUGAUAACAAGAUUUCUUGUUUUACAGUUUCUUUAAGAUCAACUGAGCUCCAUACUGGGGUUGAAGAGUGAGCACAACUUGAGGAGCAUGUGCAUAACUCGGCGAAAGCUCCCAAGAAAAGCGCCGUAAGAUCAAAGCCAGCGCCAUCUUUGCUUCCAGCAUAGCAAAAUUUUGCCCAAUGCAAGUUCGAGGUCCCCAACCAAAUGGAAAGAACGAGAGAUUGCCUUUUGUAGCCUUUGAAACUCCCUCACUGAAUCUUUCUGGUUUAAAUUCCUUCGCAUCAUCACCCCACAAGUCUUUGUCCUGCUGCAGCAAGAUUGGGGCCACAAAGAUGAACAUUCCUUCGGGCAGUGAUAGUUCGCCUAAUUUAGUUUCUUCAGGAUUCAUUCGAAAAAAAUUUGCUGCCGGUGGAUAUAGCCUUAGAACCUCGUUAAGGAUCAUGGUAACCUUUAGAAAAAUAAACGUAAACAGAAGAAUGAUUAGUGGAGAUUGGAGCAACUAUCAAAAAAGUGCUAAGAUGGGAGCAUAAUUUUGCAAGUUAUACUUACAAUUUUGAGGUGAUUUAAUUUACUAAUAUCAGGUUCAUUGUUGUCAAAAACCUGUAGAACCUCAUCCCUGGCACGAGCCUGCCAAUCAAAAUGUUGACUCAAUAAAAUUAAUGUCCAGACGAGCAAUCCUGAGGUUGUCUCUUGUCCAGCCAAAUAGAAUAGCUUGCACUCCUCGAUGACUUCUUCAAGGCUCAAGCCGUUCUUAUUUCCAUGUUGUCGGAUCUCAUUCAAAUUGGAUUCCAAUAAAAUACCCAACAAGUCAUCACUUGUAGCUUCACCUGUUUGAAUUUCCUUCAGCCUUUCGUUGAUAAUGCCCAUAACUAAUGAGUUUACUUCCUUGAAAAUCUUCUGCAUUCUUUUGUUUCUUUUUGUUGGCACAAAACUGAAUGCAAAAUAGCAAUAACCAAAUAAGCUAAAUGAUACAAUUACAAACAAGAGAUUGAAAGACAGUAACUUACCUCCACCCCGGAAGGUAAAUGGACUGCAUAACUUGCUCAAAAUACAAAGCCUGUUCACUUUGGAGUUCAAAAAUCCUUCGCCCUUUUUCAUAGUUGCUACCAAAAGCUGUUCUUGAAAUUACAUCACUAGUAAAUAUUUGAAGAUAAGGCCACACAUCUAAUUCAAAAGAUCCUUCUGCUGGGGCAAGGUUCUCCCAUUUGCUUAACAUCUCAUUACAACUCAGAUAAAAUGCUGGCACCAUGUACUAUAUGUGAAGGAGAAUCAAAAGCGUAAGACUUCCAGCUUUUAUGUUCUUCAUUAAUCAAAAAGUAAGAAUGGAAAUAUUAAUCAGUGAAAUUUUAAAAUUGGAAAGGCUGCAUUUGGUUCUUUAUCUGGACUAGAUUGGAACCAUAACUACAUUUAUAUGAUGCAAUGCCAAACACUAGCCAGUCCCAUGUCUGAUAAAUAACAAGAAACGGCCAAAAGCAUGUAAGAUAUUGAAACAGCACCAAAUUUCAGGAGAAAAAGCUAGAAACAACCUUCAAUUUCUCUACAUGAAAAGCAGGAUUCAAUAAUCUUCUGUGUUUGGCCCAUUUUUCUGUAUCCAGGCUAGCAAGUCCUAGUGCUAGAAGUUUACUGAUUGGAUUUGCCCGAGGCUUCUGAUAAGUAAAAUUUUUUGUGAAGACCUCCUUUACUUGUUCAGGAUCCAAGAUAACCAUUGCCGGCCUUGGUCCAAGCCAAAAAAAGCUAUUUUUACCUACAAAAUAAUUUUUGAUAAGCAACUUAUCCACUCUUAAAAAAAAAGGAUUGGGUUAACCAUAUAUGAAAUGCAUGAUUGCCAAAAAACACAGCAAACCAAAUAGUCUUCGGGCAAAUUUGGAGAACAAACCUUUAUGUUGCAUUGUUUCAUUGAUCAAGGGCAUGAUUCUGGGAAAGAUAUCAUCUGUUAAAGAAAUUGGUUUGGACUUAGCCUCCUCAAGCAUCCUUCCCAUGUCUCUGGUGUCUCCAAACAAGAACCUGUAAGAGUUUCCCUGUAGACCUUGCCGCCUGAGGCGUUUCUCCAUCUUCUUUGGUGUGAUCCAAGCCCAAUUCAAGAAUCUCCAUGCCCCGAUGAGAAGAACUAUAACUGACGAAACUCCAAUCAAGCUAUAGAAAAAGUCCAUUUUCUCUGAUGCGCUUCCACUCCUUCAGUCAAACUUUCUGCUGGCAGGGGGAACUUGCGAAGCGGUUAGUUAUUGAGGGAGAACCUCAACUUUGGGACACAUAAUUCUGAAAUCUAUGCAUAUCCAUCUGUAAAAUCAGCAAAGACAAAGUAGCUUGAUGGUAUGUUCUCUGCUAAAAUGGAGAUGCUCUGAGACUUCAACACUCACCUAUAAAGGACAUUUGAGCCUUUAAUAUUCUUGUUUAUGGUAAAAUGAUUUUUCUACUCGUUCACUUAAAUUACACUUAAUUUACUAUAUGAACACACAUAAUACAAUUAUUAUAUCCUCUGUAUUUAAACGCUUUCCUAGUAACUAUAGUUUUUUUUUAAAAAAAAUAUAGCACUUUUGAGGCCACCCUAACAGAGGGGACGAUAAAGGAGAACCAAUCAACAAAGCUCGAUUAUCCAGCAAGCCUCGCAAAUCAUCCUCAGAAGUCUUUUUCUAUCUGCCUUCUAGAAAAAGUGUCAGUUCAAUAAAUAGAACUUGAGAAUUUGACUUUUGAAUUACCGUAAAAAAAAAAAAAAGGAUGAAGAAGAAGACUAUAACCGGCUAACUCUACAUAUAAAUGGCUAUUGUUAGAAUAGCUACUCUUUGAGCAGUGAUCCAUGGCUAUUAUUAAUGUGCUAAUGUGUAAUAACAAUUAAUUGUAGCACUAAAGUACACAUUAUGUUUUUGCUGAAAUCUAUUUAAAGAAAAAACAUUUAGUGGCUACAGUCAAAUGAAAAGAUUUUAGUACCCUAAUGUAAUUGAUGCAGAUUAGGAGUAUCAAACUCUUUUUCAUUUAAAAAUAGCAAGGGAAAUUCAAGUAUUUGAAAAUUAGCUAAACAAAGUGCUGCAAAUUGAUAGCACAAGGUACAGAAGUCCUAAAACUGAUAAUUGAAGAUAGUUUAGGGGAAAAUGUCGCAAUAAGCUUUGGAUGUAAUUUUAAAUACUUGAGCAUGAGAAGGUCGCAUGUAGAACUAUAUCUCAGGACCAAGAAAUUUGAUGCGAAAAAUGGCGAAUUUUUUUGUUACAGCCUUGACUCUCAAUGGUUUGGAAACAAAAAGAUCAAUGUGAAAUUUGUUUUUGAUCAACUGCGUCCUCUAAUGCGGUUCAUUAAUAAACAUAAUAAGAAAUCCCAGAACAUUAACAUUUGUCCUUUUUAACCUAUUAACGUUAAUACUUUGCAAAAUAGCAAUAACUCCAAAAUCUUCUUGUAAUUGCACCAAAAGUUUAUUAAACCUUACAGAAGCAGCGACCUAAAAGGCUAGCAUGAUAAGCAACAUGUAGCAAUUACAGAAGUUCAGUCACAUAAUCAAUAACACGCAUACAUAGUUCAAGUCCUGGAAUCGCUGGCGUUCAUGAAGCAGAUGAUUCAGAUAACAGGUUUAUACUACAGUUUCUUCAUAAUCAACUGAGCACCAUACUGAGGUUGAAGAAGGGUAAGAAACAAGUAUGGGGCAUGCGUAUACAAUGGAGAAAGCUCAAAGGAAAAGCGCUGUAAAAUUAAAGCUAAUGCCAUUUUUGCUUCAAGCAGAGCAAAGUUUUGCCCAAUGCAUAUCCGAGGUCCCCCACCAAAUGGCAGAAAACAGGGCUGGCCCUUAGUAGCCUUUGCAACUCCCUCGCUAAAUCUCUCUGGGUUGAAUUCCUUUGCAUCAUCACCCCAUAAACUUGGAUCAUGAUG
rnacentral:lncRNA from 1 species